UUGUAUGUUGCUGCCCCACCUGAGGAUACAAGCAAGAAAGGAGGCAAGAAGAAGGGUGGUUCCAUGCAGACUGUGUCCUCGCAGUUCAGGGAGAACUUGGGCAAACUGAUGACCAACUUGAGGAGCACUCAUCCUCACUUUGUGCGCUGCCUGAUCCCCAAUGAGUCAAAGACUCCAGGUA